UACGUAGGGACCAAGCGUUGUCCGGAAUCACUGGGCGUAAAGGGCGCGUAGGCGGCCUGAUAAGUAGGGGGUGAAAUCCUGUGGCUUAACUGCAGGGCUGCCUCCUAGACUGUUAGGCUCGAGCACGGUAGAGGCAGAUGGAAUUCCCGGUGUAGGCGGUGGAAUGCGUAGAGAUCGGGAAGAACAUCGGUGGCGAAGGCGGUCUGCUGGGCCGUUGCUGACGCUGAGGCGCGACAGCGUGGGGAGCAAACAGGG
rnacentral:rRNA from 1 species